CCUACGGGAGGCAGCAGUGGGGAAUAUUGCGCAAUGGGCGAAAGCCUGACGCAGCGACGCCGCGUGAGGGAUGAAGGUCUUCGGAUCGUAAACUUCUGUCAGCAGGGAAGAACGGUCACUGUGCUAAUCAGCAGUGAAUUGACGGUACCUGCAAAGGAAGCACCGGCUAACUCCGUGCCAGCAGCCGCGGUAAUACGGAGGGUGCGAGCGUUAAUCGGAAUUACUGGGCGAAAAGCGCUCGUAGGCGGUAUGUCAAGUCAAGGGUGAAAUCCCGGCGCUCAACGUGGGAACUGCCUUGGAAACAGGCAAACUGGGGUGUGUGAGAGGAUAGUGGAAUUCCAGGUGUAGGAGUGAAAUCCGUAGAUAUCUGGAGGACAAUCAGUGGCGAAGGCGACUAUCUGGCACAUAACUGACGCUGAGGAGCGAAAGCGUGGGUAGCAAACAGGAUUAGAUACCCUAGUAGU
rnacentral:rRNA from 1 species